rnacentral:misc_RNA from 1 species
UGAAGAUACCCAUGCUGUUCU